rnacentral:rRNA from 1 species
ACAGUGGACGCGAGCAUCUUUGUUGUAAGUAAUGAAGAGCGUACGGUGGAUGCCUUGGCACCAGGAGCCGAUGAAGGACGUAGGAGGCUGCGAUAAGCCUCGGGGAGCUGUCAACCGAGCUGUGAUCCGAGGAUGUCCGAAUGGGGAAACCCAGCACGAGUGAUGUCGUGUUACCCGCGCCUGAAUAUAUAGGGCGUGUGGAGGGAACGUGGGGAAGUGAAACAUCUCAGUACCCACAGGAAGAGAAAACAACCGUGAUUCCGUGAGUAGUGGCGAGCGAAAGCGGAAGAGGCUAAACCAUGGGUGUGUGAUAGCCGGCAGGCGUUGCAUUCGUGGGGUUGUGGGGUUCAUUUUGUCUGUUCUGCCGAGCAGGCCAACAGUAAGAAAUCACAGGGUUAGUGGAAGUGGUCUGGAACGGCCUGUCGUAGAGGGUGAGAAUCCCGUACACGAAAACUUUGUGACUGUUGUAAUGGAAACCCAAGUAGCACCGGGCCCGUGAAAUCUGGUGUGAAUCUGUCGGGACCACCCGAUAAGCCUGAAUACUCCCUGGUGACCGAUAGCGGACUAGUACCGUGAGGGAAAGGUGAAAAGUACCCCGGGAGGGGAGUGAAAUAGUACCUGAAACCGUGCGCUUACAAUCCGUCAGAGCCUUCGAGCAGUUUACUGCUGGGGGUGAUGGCGUGCCUUUUGAAGAAUGAGCCUGCGAGUUAGUGGCAUGUCGCGAGGUUAACCCGUGUGGGGUAGCCGUAGCGAAAGCGAGUCCGAAUAGGGCGAUCGUAGUGGCAUGCUCUAGACCCGAAGCGGAGUGAUCUACCCAUGGCCAGGUUGAAGCGACGGUAAGACGUCGUGGAGGACCGAACCCACUUAGGUUGAAAACUGAGGGGAUGAGUUGUGGGUAGGGGUGAAAGGCCAAUCAAACUCCGUGAUAGCUGGUUCUCCCCGAAAUGCAUUUAGGUGCAGCGUCGCGUGUUUCUCACCGGAGGUAGAGCUACUGGAUGGUCUAGGGGGCCCACAAGCUUACCGAAAUCAGCCAAACUCCGAAUGCCGGUGAGUGAGAGCGCGGCAGUGAGACUGCGGGCGAUAAGGUUCGUAGUCGAGAGGGAAACAGCCCAGAUCGCCAGCUAAGGUCCCUAAGCGUGUACUAAGUGGAAAAGGAUGUGGGGUCGCGAAGACAACCAGGAGGUUGGCUUAGAAGCAGCCACCCUUGAAAGAGUGCGUAAUAGCUCACUGGUCAAGUGAUCCUGCGCCGACAAUGUAGCGGGGCUCAAGUACACCACCGAAGCUGCGGCAUUCACGCAAUAGCCCCCCUUCACUCUGCGGAGUGUUGGGCAGGUGUGUGGAUGGGUAGGGGAGCGUCGUGUGGCCAUGGAAGCGGCAGGGUGACCUAGCCGUGGAGGCCACACGAGUGAGAAUGCAGGCAUGAGUAGCGAAAGACGAGUGAGAAACUCGUCCGCCGAAUGACCAAGGGUUCCUGGGCCAGGUUAAUCCGCCCAGGGUGAGUCGGGACCUAAGACGAGGCCGACAGGCGUAGCCGAUGGACAACGGGUUGAUAUUCCCGUACCCGUGUGAACGCGCCCAUGGUGAAUCAGUGAUACUAACCAUCCUGAAGCCACGAGAAGACCUUCGGGUCUCGAGUUGGUGGAUGCAUGGGACCUGAUCUGGUAGUAGCCAAGCGAUGGGGUGACGCAGGAAGGUAGCUGAGCCAGUCAGUGGUAAUACUGGUGUAAGCGUGUAGGGCGUGACCUAGGCAAAUCCGGGUCGCA